rnacentral:rRNA from 1 species
AGGGUUCGAUUCUGGCUCAGGAUGAACGCUGGCAGCGCGCUUAACACAUGCAAGUCGAACGGAAACUUAAUGAAACGCAAGUAGAUUUAAGUUUUAGUGGCGGACGGGUGAGUAACGCGUGGGUAACCUGCCGUAUGCAGGGGGAUAACAGUUAGAAAUGACUGCUAAUACCGCAUAAGACCACAGUCUCGCAUGAGACAGGGGUAAAAACUCCGGUGGCAUACGAUGGACCCGCGUCUGAUUAGGCAGUUGGUGAGGUAACGGCCCACCAAACCUACGAUCAGUAGCCGGCCUGAGAGGGUGAACGGCCACAUUGGGACUGAGACACGGCCCAAACUCCUACGGGAGGCAGCAGUGGGGAAUAUUGCACAAUGGGCGAAAGCCUGAUGCAGCCGACGCCGCGUGAGUGAAGAAGUAUUUCGGUAUGUAAAGCUCUAUCAGCAGGGAAGAAAAUGACGGUACCUGACUAAGAAGCACCGGCUAAAUACGUGCCAGCAGCGGC